rnacentral:tRNA from 1 species
GGUCCAGUGGCGCAAUCGGUUAGCGCACGGUACUUAUAUGACAGUAGUCGCGAGCAAUGCCGGGGUUGUGAGUUCGAGCCUCACCUGGACCA